GUUAAACUGUUUCCUGCCGGGAAGACUUCUUUCACAGAGGUGCUAUUGGAACAAGCUGAUCUUGUCACUAGCACCUUGAAUUUAUGCAAGCAGUUACUCUCAAGAAGCUGCAAAAUACAUUUCUUCAGACUGAUCUUGCUCGCUGCAGGGAAGCUGGACUGGAUGCCAACUGCAAGAUUUUCUUAUUCCUUGACAACUGUUCUGCUCCUUCUCCAGCUGAAAUUCUCAUCAAAAAUAAUGUUUAUGCCAUGUACUUUUCCCUAAAUGUGACUUCAUUAAUUCAGCAUGUGACCAGAGUAUCCUUAGGUAAAUGAAGAGUAAAUAUAGAGAUACUUUUUUGAACAUCAUGCUAGCAGCAGGGAACAGAGGCAUGAGUAUGGAAGUUUUUCAAAAGGAGUUUAGUAUGAAGGAUGUCAUAUAUUCUGUUGCCAACUGUUGGAAAACAAUGACUAAAGACACAGUUGUGCAUGCCUGGACCCAACAUCUGGCCUACAACUAUGUUCAGUGAUUAUGAUGAACAAGGUGCUGGCUUUGAAGGAUGUCAAUUGUGUGAUGGGCUUCUUGGAGGGCUACACCAGUGUUCAUUCACAACAGAACAAGAAAUCAGGUAAGUUUAUAAAGUCAAAAAGACUUCUAAGAAAGAAAAAAGCACAUUGUUGAUUAGGCAGAUGCCUCUAGGAGCAACAUUUUUAAAAACCAUCCAGUGGAAUGCUUCCUCUUCCCUAGAGGACUCACUUCCUGGUCCUUCAACUGCCUGUGAUGUUUCAACUCACCUAAAAAAAAUGUUAACCAAAGCACAGCCUUUUAGGAGAAGACUGAAAGCCUGCUGUUGCUCGUUAUUGCUAUUGUUUAACAGCUGAUAUAGGUAUUCUGUUGAUGCUAUUGUACUUAAUUACCCUGAACACAUUAUUUUUCUUUCACUGUAUUUACUAUAUUAUAAUAUUUUUUCCUGUUAUGUACUUAUGUGUGAAUAAGUGUAAGAAAAUGAUUGUUUAUCAGUAGCGUAUAAAUUCAGAGUCAGAAAUAAGGGUGAUGUCAAACAACUAGAUUGUCUACAUGGGGACCUUAGAUUGUGACAACAACACCUUUGCUCUCUGAUAUCUCAGUUACACAAUCUGUGUUUUAUUAACAAAAUUAUUUGAAAUAUUGUGUAAAAUUUCAUUGAGUCUAUGUGUAUAAGCUAUAUAUGGAACACAAAUGAAUUUUGUAUUUUUACUUGGGUUCUAUCCCCAAGAUAUCUCAUUAUC
rnacentral:lncRNA from 10 species